rnacentral:rRNA from 1 species
AGUGAACGCUGGCGGUAGGCCUAACACAUGCAAGUCGAACGGCAGCACAGUAAGAGCUUGCUCUUACGGGUGGCGAGUGGCGGACGGGUGAGGAAUACAUCGGAAUCUACUUUUUCGUGGGGGAUAACGUAGGGAAACUUACGCUAAUACCGCAUACGACCUACGGGUGAAAGCAGGGGAUCUUCGGACCUUGCGCGAUUGAAUGAGCCGAUGUCGGAUUAGCUAGUUGGCGGGGUAAAGGCCCACCAAGGCGACGAUCCGUAGCUGGUCUGAGAGGAUGAUCAGCCACACUGGAACUGAGACACGGUCCAGACUCCUACGGGAGGCAGCAGUGGGGAAUAUUGGACAAGGGGCGAAAGCCUGAUCCAGCCAUACCGCGUGGGUGAAGAAGGCCUUCGGGUUGUAAAGCCCUUUUGUGGGGAAAGAAAAGCAGCAGGUUAAUACCCCGCUGUUCUGACGGUACCCAAAGAAUAAGCACCGGCUAACUUCG